rnacentral:rRNA from 1 species
CCUGGUUGAUUCUGCCAGUAGUCAUAUGCUUGUCUUAAAGAUUAAGCCAUGCAUGUCUAAGUAUAAGCAAUUAUACAGCGAAACUGCGAAUGGCUCAUUAAAUCAGGUUAUCGUUUAUUUGAUAGUACCUUACUACAUGGAUAACCGUGGUAAUUCUAGAGCUAAUACAUGCUAAAAACCCCGACUUCGGAAGGGGUGUAUUUAUUAGAUUAAAAACCAAUGCCCUUCGGGGCUCACUGGUGAUUCAUGAUAACUUCUCGAAUCGCACGGCCUUGCGCCGGCGAUGGUUCAUUCAAAUUUCUGCCCUAUCAACUUUCGACGGCUGGGUCUUGGCCAGCCGUGGUGACAACGGGUAACGGAGGGUUAGGGCUCGACCCCGGAGAAAACGCCUGAGAAACGGCGUUUACAUCCAAGGAAGGCAGCAGGCGCGCAAAUUACCCAAUGCCGACACGGCGAGGUAGUGACGAGAAAUACUGAUACAGGGCUCUUUUGGGUCUUGUAAUUGGAAUGAGUACAAUUUAAAUCUCUUAACGAGGAACAAUUGGAGGGCAAGUCUGGUGCCAGCAGCCGCGGUAAUUCCAGCUCCAAUAGCGUAUAUUAAAGUUGUUGCAGUUAAAAAGCUCGUAGUUGAACCUUGGGCCUGGCUGGCCGGUCCGCCUCACCGCGUGCACUGGUCCGGCCGGGCCUUUCCCUCUGGGGAACCGCAUGCCCUUCACUGGGCGUGUCGGGGAACCAGGACUUUUACUUUGAAAAAAUUAGAGUGUUCAAAGCAGGCCUAUGCUCGAAUACAUUAGCAUGGAAUAAUAGAAUAGGACGUGUGGUUCUAUUUUGUUGGUUUCUAGGACCGCCGUAAUGAUUAAUAGGGACAGUCGGGGGCAUCAGUAUUCAAUUGUCAGAGGUGAAAUUCUUGGAUUUAUUGAAGACUAACUACUGCGAAAGCAUUUGCCAAGGAUGUUUUCAUUAAUCAGGAACGAAAGUUAGGGGAUCGAAGACGAUCAGAUACCGUCGUAGUCUUAACCAUAAACUAUGCCGACUAGGGAUCGGACGGUGUUAUUUUUUGACCCGUUCGGCACCUUACACGAAAGUACAAGUUUCUGGGUUCUGGGGGGAGUAUGGUCGCAAGGCUGAAACUUAAAGAAAUUGACGGAAGGGCACCACCAGGGGUGGGGCCUGCGGCUUAAUUUGACUCAACACGGGGAAACUCACCAGGUCCAGACAUGAAAAGGAUUGACAGAUUGAGAGCUCUUUCUUGAUUUUAUGGGUGGUGGUGCAUGGCCGUUCUUAGUUGGUGGAGUGAUUUGUCUGCUUAAUUGCGAUAACGAACGAGACCUUAACCUGCUAAAUAGCCCGCGUCGCUUUGGCGGCGCGCCGGCUUCUUAGAGGGACUAUCGGCU